GGUGAAGUGUCUGAGUGGUUUAAGGUGCAUCGUUGGAAACGAUGUGUGCAGUAAUGUACCGCAGGUUCAAAUCCUGUCUUCACCGCAA
rnacentral:tRNA from 1 species